UACGUAGGGGGCGAGCGUUGUCCGGAAUCAUUGGGCGUAAAGCGCGUGUAGGCGGCCCGGUAAGUCCGCUGUGAAAGUCCAGGGCUCAACCCUGGGAUGCCGGUGGAUACUGUCGGGCUCGAGUCCGGAAGAGGCGAGUGGAAUUCCUGGUGUAGCGGUGAAAUACGCAGAUAUCAGGAGGAACACCGAUGGCGAAGGCAGCUCGCUGGGACGGUACUGACGCUGAGGCGCGAAAGCGUGGGGAGCAAACAGG
rnacentral:rRNA from 1 species